CAGCCGCCGCGGUAAUGCGAAGGUGGCAAGCGUUGUCCGGAAUUAUUGGGCGUAAAGGGCUCGCAGGCGGUUUCUUAAGUCUGAUGUGAAAGCCCCCGGCUCAACCGGGGAGGGUCAUUGGAAACUGGGAAACUUGAGUGCAAAAGAGGAGAGUGGAAUUCCACGUGUAGCGGUGAAACGCGUAGAGAUGUGGAGGAACACCAGUGGCGAAGGCGACUCUCUGGUCUGUAACUGACGCUGAGGAGCGAAAGCGUGGGGAGCGAACAGGAUUAGAUACCCCCGUAGUCCCUGUCUCUUAUAC
rnacentral:rRNA from 1 species